UAAGGAAUAUUGCGCAAUGGGCGAAAGCCUGACGCAGCGACGCCGCGUGGGGGAUGAAGGUCUUCGGAUUGUAAACCCCUUUCGGGAGGGAAGAUGGGAUAGGGUAACCUAUCCGGACGGUACCUCCAGAAGCAGCCACGGCUAACUUCGUGCCAGCAGCCGCGGUAAUACGAAGGUGGCAAGCGUUGUUCGGAUUUACUGGGCGUACAGGGAGCGUAGGCGGUUGGAUAAGCCCUCCGUGAAAUCUCCAGGCUUAACCUGGAAAGUGCAGAGGGGACUGUUCAGGUAGAGGAUGGGAGAGGAGCGCGGAAUUUCCGGUGUAGCGGUGAAAUGCGGAGAGAUCGGGAGGAAGGCCGGUGGCGAAGGCGGCGCUCUGGAACAUUUCUGACGCUGAGGCUCGAAAGCGUGGGGAGCAAACA
rnacentral:rRNA from 1 species